GCCAGGUAUGGUGGCCCACACCUGUAAUCCCAGUGACUUGGGAGGCUGAGGCAGGAGGAUUACAAAUUUGAGCAAUCCUCUGGCCUCUG
rnacentral:sRNA from 1 species